rnacentral:lncRNA from 1 species
GAAGACGAAAUAAAAUAAAAUUGAUCUUGGUGUUGAACUAUUACAACAGGUAUGCCGCGUUUCAGCGCAUUGACAAUUACCUACUUUUAUGAAAAACUAGGUAAUUGCCCGUGCGUUGCAACGGGGCACAUAGACGUGUCACUAAAAUUUCAGUGAGUUCUUUACAUAAUAACCGAUUUAACAUAAAAGGCUCUUUACCAUCUAUAUCCUCCCAAUAUGCAAACCAAGUAGAAUUGAUACAUACCAUCGCAAUUCAAUUAGUGAAGCUCAUGUCUAAUUUCAGAAGCUAAUGGCCAAGGAGCUGGCAAUUUUGUUUCUGAAGAGAAAUGCAUUGCAUGUAGAUCAGGGAAAAACCUUUGUCUAGCUCUUCACCCGCUUCUCUCUGACACUUAGCUACAUAGUCGCCACAUCCUCUGAAGUCAUGUGUAGCACAAAAUAUUCAGAAACCUUGCUGUUAUCUGGAAACACAGGAUUCAACAAGAGUAUUGGUUAUGAACAUGCUGAUAGUUUCAAGUAUAAUGUAUACAAGCAUAUAACUCGCAUGGCUCACAUAAUUUGCAAUUCUCAACUGAGCCGGGGCACAACAAAUUAGAUUUACCUCUGGACAAUGGCACAAUGCCAUACUUUGUGGUAACAACUAAAAACUUUAUCGUUUUGGCUGAGAUAUUGCGACCACUUUGGAUCAUUCCCUUUUAACAAAAAUGCUAGUGAUCUUUCUCUGAUUGUAGUAUCCUCACAAUUUAAUAUUUAUUUCAUAUGCAUUGAAUUUAAUAGAAAAAAAAAUAGUAACCAUUUUCUAAACAUGUAUGCACGCAGGACCAUCAAUUAGAUUCAGAUACGAAGGUUGUGAAGAAUUCAGAAUCACAAUACAUCUAAACUGAGAUCUGACUAUUUCAGCAGCAUGAUUUCUCUAGAUGAUCAUGGAGCAUGCACUAAUUUUAUGGUGACUAUGCAUCAUGCAUGGAUGGUUCGGAUGGGAGACUGGGACAACAAUUGUUUUUUACUUUAAUAGGCUUUGGAUUGUUGUGUUUCCUCUUUCCGUUCUUUCUUCAAUUGGAACUUCACUGCCAAAACCAUAUUACCUCCUGCCAUGAUCCCCACAAAGUUAGAAGAAUGGUUCAAUGUUGCACCAACUGCAUCAAAUCUGCAAUGUACAUACUGUAUCAGUAUUCAGUAGUCAAUUUAUCCCAUGCAGUACACUUAAAAAUUGCCAAAAAAGAGAAGAGGAGACCGUCCAUCUUACAGAGUUGCAAG